rnacentral:rRNA from 1 species
UACAGAGGUCCCAAGCGUUACUGAGAAUCACUGGGUUUAAAGGGUGCGUAGGUGGUCCGUUAAGUCCGUUGUGAAAUCCCUGGGCUCAACCCAGGAACUGCUUCGGAUACUGGCGGACUUGAGGCCAGUAGAGGUCACUGGAACUGACGGUGGAGCGGUGAAAUGCGUAGAUAUCGUCAGGAACGCCGGUGGUGAAGACGGGUGACUGGGCUGGUUCUGACACUGAGGCACGAAAGCGUGGGGAGCGAAC